UCCAUUGCAUUCCAUUCCAUUCCAUUCCUUUCGAGUCCAUUCAAUUCCUUUCCUUUCCGUUCGAGUCCAUUCCAUUCAAUUCCAUUCUCUUCCAUUCCAUUCCAUUCCAUUCAGUUCAAUUCGGUUCCAUUCCAUUCCAUUCCAUUCCAGUCAAUUCUAUUCCAUUCCAUUCCAUUUGAGUACAUUCAAUUCCAUUCCAUUCCACUCGAAUCCAUUCCAUUCCAUUCCAUUCGAGUCCAUUCCAUUCCAUUCCAUUCCAUUUGAGUACAUUC
rnacentral:lncRNA from 1 species